rnacentral:lncRNA from 1 species
CUUCCCUGUAUCAUAUUUAUUUUUUCCUCAAUAUCACCCCUCAUCUUUCACCCAGGGCCUGCAAUAUUCCUUCGUUCAUUUGACACACAUCGGUUGAUAUUUGUGCCUGCUGUGAGGCAUUAAAAACUGCUUAUCUGGCUGUGUGGCACCCGGGAACUUUCCCCAGGCCACACCAGCUACACCUGUGGCCUCCUCAGCCUGGGUUGCUGCCCUGAGUCACUGGAGUAGGUCACUUCCUCUCUCAGUCCCUCCAUCUGUGCAAUAGGGAUAAGAGGCCUGGCUUCUCUCUAGUCUCCUGGGACUGUCAGGGGAUGAGUCAGAUAACGGUGGGGAAGGCGCAGAGAGGCAGAAAGCAGCUCUUACUAGAGCGGGGCCCAUCUGGCUGAUGCAAGGCUUGCACUUUGCAUGUAACCCCAGCCGGUACAAACAGGGAUGGCUCCGGGAAGCGUGAGGAGCAGGGGGAGCAGAGAAGUCCCCAACCCUACCCGACAGCCGGGGUGUGGGAUCCAGACUGGCAGCUUAGGAGUCUGAGCAGCUGGGGCUCUGUCCAGGCUCUGCUUCCCCAGCUCUGCGAGCAUGACAGCAGGUUCCUGACCCCUCUGAUCCGGCUGCCUUUUCUGUCACUCAGGGGUUGCAGUACCUCCCUCACCUAGCUGAAGUUGGAAGUGAAGUGCACAAGGAGAUCACACUCAG